UACGGGGGGGGCAAGCGUUGUUCGGAAUUACUGGGCGUAAAGGGUUCGUAGGUGGCCAACUAAGUCAGACGUGAAAUCCCUCAGCUUAACUGGGGAACUGCGUCUGAUACUGGUUGGCUCGAGUGCAGGAGAGGAACGCGGAAUUCCAGGUGUAGCGGUGAAAUGCGUAGAUAUCUGGAGGAACACCGGUGGCGAAGGCGGCGUUCUGGACUGCAACUGACACUGAGGAACGAAAGCCAGGGUAGCAAACGGG
rnacentral:rRNA from 1 species